GUGUCAGCAGCCGCGGUAAUACGUAGGGUGCAAGCGUUAAUCGGAAUUACUGGGCGUAAAGCGUGCGCAGGCGGUUUUGUAAGACAGUGGUGAAAUCCCCGGGCUCAACCUGGGAACUGCCAUUGUGACUGCAAGGCUAGAGUGCGGCAGAGGGGGAUGGAAUUCCGCGUGUAGCAGUGAAAUGCGUAGAUAUGCGGAGGAACACCGAUGGCGAAGGCAAUCCCCUGGGCCUGCACUGACGCUCAUGCACGAAAGCGUGGGUAGCAAACAGGAUUAGAAACCCGUGUAGUCC
rnacentral:rRNA from 1 species